UGAGGAACAUGACCUUCGGCGGGGGAGUAGCCGGCCCAACGGCCGGGUAAUACCGCGUACGACCAUUUGGGGACAUCCCCGAGUGGUGAAAGCAGUAAUGCGCCGAUGGAGUGCCUCGCGGCCUAUCAGCUAGUUGGUGGGGUAACGGCUCACCAAGGCAACGACGGGUAGCUGGUCUGAGAGGAUGGCCAGCCACAUUGGGACUGAGACACGGCCCAGACUCCUACGGGAGCAGCAGG
rnacentral:rRNA from 1 species